UAAAGGGCGGUUUGCUGGGUGGAAAUUAGUGCUAACCGGUUUUUGUUUGACAACUUAAGUUUCUUACUACUCCAGAUGGUAAGCAAUGCAAAACCUUCUACUUUUCCACAUAAAGAGCUAAAUGCAAGAUAUUGUUUUCACCAUCUUAUCGUGUGAAAUCAUUUAAGUGUAAUUGUUCCACAGUGAUGGCCGACGAAGAACGAAUUAAGGAAUGGGCAGAAUGGUUGAAAGUUAAGUCUGUGUUUGUAGAUCUGGAAUGGCUGGAAGCUUGUGUUAGAUGGAUAUUGUCGCGUGAGUCUAUAAACUCCGAAAUGGAACUAAAAAAUGCCAUUUAUGAACAAUGGUUAAUGUCUGAUUUAAUGGAAAGUGGAAGCAGUACUUUACCACAGUCUGUGGCAAGUAUUCCUAAGAUGCUGACAAAGUCAACAAUUGUACUUCAGGUGAAUUCAAUUGUAAAUAUUGCUGAAUCAGCAUAUAGUCAAUUAAAGAAACUAAAAAAUGAAGACAAUGAUCUUGAUGACAAUGUUAACAAGAAUAAGACACAAGUGUCGCCAUCCAGUCGUAUGUUAAAGUUAGAUUUAACGGAUGGUCAUCAGUUUAUUGAGGGUAUGGAAGUUUCACCUAUAAAGAAGUUAAGUUCUGAUACUUUACCAGGAACCAAGAUCUUGAUUAAACCUAAUACUCUAUGUCGAUCUGGCAUGUUGUUUUUGACUGGGAAUAACAUUGAGAUAUUGGGAGGUCAUGUUCCAUGGUUUUUGGAAGAAAAAUCUAGAAUGAAUAUGCUUAACAAACUUGUUAUGAAAACCAAGAACUCUACUACUAACGAUGAUGAAUUAUCUGGUGAACAACAUGAAAGCAAUUUCCAAGUGGAAACAUCCAACAACAGUUCUGGUGAUAAUUUUGAGGUUGACAAAUGGCUGGAUGAUAACGAAGAUGAAAAUCUGUUGGUGAAUCUUGAAGAUGACUUUGAAAAUCAAUCUGUUCCAACGGUUGUAAUACUAGAUGACGACAUUCCACAUGAUGUAGUCAUAGAAAAGGAGUUUGAAAUUGAUGAUGAUAUUCCUAACGAUGUUCUAAAUGACCUGGAUGGUUAUGAAUGUUAGUUUGAUGAUCUGGUAACAAUGGAGAUCAUUUGAAGAGAAGUGGAAUCAUGGACAGCGUUUUAGGUAAAGUUGGGCGGUAUUGAAAUGUUGGGAACAUUUACAGCACCUUAAGGUGGUCACCCCCUCUUGUCAGAUGAAUUUUUAAAAAUUUUUCCGAAAAUUUUUUUUGGUCAUUUUUGGCACUUUAAGUAUUGUAGUUUAAGUCUGCAGUGUUGAUUUUCUUUAAAAAAUAAUACUCCGUGAGAAAAAUGCCCUCAAACAUACCUUAUCGAAGAAAUUAACCCUUAGCAACGCCUUAGCAACGCAUUUAGGUACCAAAAUCGUGAAAAAUUUCGACCAAAAUCCAUUUUUAACCAUUAUUUUUUGGUUUGUCCUUUUGGCGUAUGUAAUUUCAAGUCUUUUGAUGAAUGUUGCUCCGUGAUUGGUUGCUUUUGCUAGCCUUGGUUGGCCUUGACAACGCUAUGACUUUGUCUGCCAUGUAUAGUUCGCAUACACACGC